GUUUUGCCCUGUCUCCAGCAGACUUAACAACUUCCCCCUUGUCUCGUUAAAGCGUUCAUAAAGAAAGGAAUCCUCUAAUAAUUUUGAUAUUUGAUCAAAUAGUUUAGCAGACAUAAUCCUUGAUUGGCUUUCAUUGAGGAAACCAGAGACUCUUUCUGACAAGAGUAUAAAUGUUUCCGUAAGCUCGUUUACUACUCUUGACUCAUCCCACAAUGUUGAAAUAGC
rnacentral:misc_RNA from 1 species